UACGUAGGGUGCGAGCGUUGUCCGGAUUUAUUGGGCGUAAAGAGCUCGUAGGCGGCUUGUCGCGUCGGAUGUGAAAGCCCGGGGCUUAACCCCGGGCCUGCAGUGGGUACGGGCAGACUAGAGUGCGGUAGGGGAGACUGGAAUUCCUGGUGUAGCGGUGAAAUGCGCAGAUAUCAGGAGGAACACCGGUGGCGAAGGCGGGUCUCUGGGCCGUAACUGACGCUGAGGAGCGAAAGCGUGGGGAGCGAACAGG
rnacentral:rRNA from 1 species